rnacentral:rRNA from 1 species
AUUGAACGCUGGCGGCAUGCCUUACACAUGCAAGUCGAACGGUAACAGGUCUUCGGAYGCUGACGAGUGGCGAACGGGUGAGUAAUACAUCGGAACGUGCCCAGUCGUGGGGGAUAACUACUCGAAAGAGUAGCUAAUACCGCAUACGAUCUGAGGAUGAAAGCGGGGGACCUUCGGGCCUCGCGCGAUUGGAGCGGCCGAUGGCAGAUUAGGUAGUUGGUGGGAUAAAAGCUUACCAAGCCGACGAUCUGUAGCUGGUCUGAGAGGACGACCAGCCACACUGGGACUGAGACACGGCCCAGACUCCUACGGGAGGCAGCAGUGGGGAAUUUUGGACAAUGGGCGAAAGCCUGAUCCAGCAAUGCCGCGUGCAGGAUGAAGGCCUUCGGGUUGUAAACUGCUUUUGUACGGAACGAAAAAGCUCCUUCUAAUACAGGGGGCCCAUGACGGUACCGUAAGAA